rnacentral:rRNA from 1 species
CCUACGGGAGGCAGCAGUAGGGAAUAUUGGACAAUGGGUGCGAGCCUGAUCCAGCCAUGCCGCGUGCAGGAAGAAGGCCUUCUGGGUUGUAAACUGCUUUUGCCGGGGGGAUAAAAGACCCAUGCGUGGGGAAUUGAAGGUACCCGGUGAAUAAGCCACGGCUAACUACGUGCCAGCAGCCGCGGUAAUACGUAGGUGGCGAGCGUUGUCCGGAUUUAUUGGGUUUAAAGGGUGCGUAGGCGGCCCCGUAAGUCAGUGGUGAAAUACGGCAGCUCAACUGUCGAGGUGCCAUUGAUACUGCGGGGCUUGAGUACAGUCGAGGUAGGCGGAAUUGACGGUGUAGCGGUGAAAUGCUUAGAUAUCGUCAAGAACACCGAUAGCGAAGGCAGCUUGCUAGGCUGUAACUGACGCUGAGGCACGAAAGUGCGGGGAUCAAACAGGAUUAGAUACCCUGGUAGUCCGCACAGUAAACGAUGGUCACUCGGUGUUGGCGGUACACGGCCAGCGCCUUAGCGAAAGCGUUAAGUGACCCACCUGGGGAGUACGCCCGCAAGGGUGAAACUCAAAUUGAAUUGACGG